rnacentral:rRNA from 2 species
CCGACCUGAGGAGGGUGAUCGGCCACACUGGGACUGAGACCGGGCCCAGACUCCUCCGGGAGGCAGCAGUAGGGAAUCUUCCGCAUUGGACGAAAGUCUGACGGAGCCACGCCGCAGUAGUGAUGAAGGCUUUCGGGUCGUAAAACUAUGUUGUUAGGGGAGAACAAGUGCUAGUUGAAUAAGCUGGCACCUUGACGGUACCUAACCAGAAAGCCACGGCUAACUACGUGCCAGCAGCCGCGGUAAUACGUAGAUGGCAAGCGUUAUCCGGAAUUAUUGGGCGUAAGGGGCGCGCAGGUGGUUUCUUAAGUCUGAUGUGAAAGCCCACGGCUCAACCGUGGAGGGUCAUUGGAAACUGGGAGACUUGAGUGCAGAAGAGGAAGGUGGAAUUCCAUGUGUAGCGGUGAAAUGCGUAGAGAUAUGGAGGAACACCAGCGGCGAAGGCGACUUUCUGGUCUGUAA